rnacentral:lncRNA from 1 species
AUAUACUCUCCCAGAAGAGCAGGAAAGGGGAUUCGUAAAUACGUUCUUCUGAUGGGGAAUGCUCUAUGAGGCCGCCUUCACAUGUGUGGAAGAUGAUCAAAGUAUGACGUUUCUUCUACCCCAGAGGUUGGCAUUUCUGCAGGCACAAAUGAGCUUGGUUUUCAAGCACCAGUCUUUGAGCACAAGGAAUUCCUUUAAUGAUCACGGGCUAGAUAGACUUUGGAAUCAGACUCUUUGAAUUCCAGCUCUGCCAUUUACCAACUUUGACACUUUGGAUAGGGUCUCAUUCUGUCAGCCAGGCUGGAGUGCAGUGGCACUAUUAUAGCUCACUGCAGCCUCAAAUGCCUGGGCUCAGGCAGUCUUCCCACCUCUGCCUCCUGAGUAGUUGGGACUACAGGCAUGUGCCACCAAGCCCAGCCAAUUUUUCAGUUUUAAAUUUUUUGUAGAGAUGGGGGUCUUGCUAUGUCACCCAGGCUGGUCUUGAACACCUGGCCUCAAGUGAUCCUCCGGCCUCGCUCUCUCAAAGCUCUGGGAUUACAGACAUGAGCCACUGCACCUGGCUCUGUCUCCCCUUCCUAUGUGUGUUGGCUCUAGAACAAGAGAAGCCUUGUUGAGAUUCAUGGCUGCCCCUUGCACCCCAUCACCUCUCUGACUUUGGGCAAGUUGCCUGGUCUCUCUCAGCCUUUAUUUUCUUUUUGUGAAAUGGGGAUAAUAAUAGUACUUGCCUCAUAGGCAAAAUGUUGUGAGAACUAAAUGAGAAAAUACAUGUAAAGCUCUUGGCACUUAGGUCUUUUUAUGAUUAUGAUGAUAAUCACACAUAAUAAAUUAUUUCUCACAUCACAUGC